CACCAGAAGUAACUGGAACCAGCAAGAC
rnacentral:piRNA from 1 species